rnacentral:rRNA from 1 species
UACGAAGGGGGCUAGCGUUGUUCGGAAUUACUGGGCGUAAAGCGCACGUAGGCGGAUAUUUAAGUCAGGGGUGAAAUCCCAGAGCUCAACUCUGGAACUGCCUUUGAUACUGGGUAUCUUGAGUAUGGAAGAGGUAAGUGGAAUUCCGAGUGUAGAGGUGAAAUGCGUAGAUAUCUGGAGGAACACCGGUGGCGAAGGCGGCAUCCUGGACCGACAUUGACGCUGAGGCGCGAAAGCCAGGGGAGCAAACGGG